CAGCAGCCGCGGGAAUACGAAGGGGGCUAGCGUUGCUCGGAAUGACUGGGCGUAAAGGGCGCGUAGGCGGCGGCCAAAGUCAGGCGUGAAAUUCCUGGGCUCAACCUUGGGGCUGCGCUUGAUACUUGGUUGCUUGAGUGGGGAAGAGGGUCGUGGAAUUCCCAGUGUAGAGGUGAAAUUUGUAGAUAUUGGGAAGAACACCGGUGGCGAAGGCGGCGACCUGGUCCUUGACUGACGCUGAGGCGCGAAAGCGUGGGGAGCAAACAGGAUUAGAUACCCCCGUAGUCCCUGUCUCUUAUAC
rnacentral:rRNA from 1 species